rnacentral:lncRNA from 1 species
CUGUCUACAAGCCUCUAAGAAUAUAUAAUAUCAUAAAUAUUGGGAUAGAGCCUCGCCAUACCAAACAAUACACAUCUAAAUUAUACUGACCAAACAGACAACUCCAGAGCAAAUGGAGUGCACCAACAUCUUCUGCUGAGCUGAUCGCCUACUUGGAGGACUCUCGACCUGUCUAUCGGGACCUGCGGGCAUGAAAUGCAGCAUCCCUAGGCAAAAGGGAUGUCAAUACGGAUAAUGUACCGAGUAUGUAAGGCACACAAAUAAGUACAUAACCGACAUGGAAGAAAUAUAGAGUAAAUGACUCAACCUUUAAGUCUGGAUAACUCUGUAAAUCAUGAAAUAAUUAUAGUGUCAUGCAUAUAGAUAUGAAUGUCAUGUCGUGCAUAGGUACAUGUUUCAUGACAUCAUUAGGCUUGUGAGGGCAUCCCAUCAUAUCAUCUUGGCCACUGUGGGCAAAAUCAUCAGCGUAUACCAGCUGAUCAGGUGGUGGUGCAUAUAUAAUGCCAUAACCUCUCCCAUAUAUAUAUAUAUAUAUAUAUGCGUAUAUAACGCCAUCUGGUCAUGGGUCAAUGUGCAUGUAUAUAUGCAUGAAAUGCAUAUGAAAUACAUUAACAAAAUCUCUCGGUACAUCAUAAGGCCAUUAUGCCUCUGAUUAAUAUCAUGAAAUAAUCUUUACCUAACUUACGUAUUUUUGAGACCCAUGACAUAUGAUAUAAUAAUAAGACACAUGUGAAUUCAAGAUCAUAAGCACCGCUAAUACUUCUAUGAAUAUAGUCAUUUAUGAAAGUGGUGCAUUUUCUCAUUUUGCUCAUUUUAUAUAGAUCAUGCCAAAAGAAAGAAGGGAUAGCCUUAACAUACCUGAGCUGAUUCUCCUGAUAACCCAAUAACACACGUCAAUUGCGACAAUACGUAAUGGCGGACCAUUGUAGGAAAAUAAUCCAUAUGAUAUUCUUGAAAAAAAUUAUACUGGGCUCCCUUAAAAUUGCAAAUUUCGUUACUAUUAUGUCGUAUAACUUCGCAUGAAUUCCUUGUUGGAGCAACAACGUUUCCAUUCUUAUCUUCCUGAAUUGAGGAAGAUGUUGAAGAUGCUUAAUGAAUUGUUGAAGACGUUGAAGAUGUUUCCUUCAAAUUGUUGAACUGUUGAUGUUGAAGACGUUUACAUUUUAUCGUUAUUUGCAGAAUGCCUUUUAAGA